GCCGGUAGCGGUGGCGCAUGCCUGUAAUCCCAGCUACUUGGGAGGCUGAGACGGGAGGAUCGCUUGAGCCCAAGAGUUAUGGCCUGUAGUGUGUUAUGCCGAUUGGGUGUCCACACUAAGUUCGGCAUCAAUAUGGUGACCUCCCAGGAGCGGGGGACCACCAGGUUGCCUAAGGAGGGGUGAACCGACCCAGGUCAGAAACGGAGCAGAUCAAAACUCCCGUGCUGAUCAGUAGUGGGAUUGCACCUGUGAAUAGCCACUGCACUCCAGCCUAGGCAACAUAGGGAGACCCCUGUCACU
rnacentral:SRP_RNA from 1 species